GUGGGAUCCAUUAGUACCGGCGCCCAGUGGGUGGAUUCGGCUUAUUAGAUACCCUUGUAGUCCACGCAGUAACGGAUGAAUGCUAGCUGUCGGGUUCUACGGGACUGGGUGGCACAGCGAAAGCGUUAAGCAUUCCACUNGGGGAGUACGCUGGCAACGGUGAAACUCAAAGGAAUUGACGGGGGCCCGCACAAGCGGAGGAACAUGUGGUUUAAUUCGAUGAUACGCGAGGAACCUUACCCGGGCUCAAACGCCAAAGGACAGCCGGUGAAAGUCGGCCUCCCUCCGGGGUCUUUGGCGAGGUGCUGCAUGGUUGUCGUCAGCUCGUGCCGUGAGGUGUCGGCUUAAGUGCCAUAACGAGCGCAACCCCCAUCGACAGUUGCUAACGGGUAGAGCCGAGGACUCUGUCGAGACUGCCGGCGCAAGCUGCGAGGAAGGCGGGGAUGACGUCAAAUCAGCACGGCCCUUACGUCCGGGGCGACACACGUGUUACAAUGGCCGGUACAGCGGGAUGCCAGGGCGCGAGCCCGAGCGGAACCCGAAAACCGGUCUCAGUUCGGAUUGGAGUCUGCAACCCGACUCCAUGAAGCUGGAUUCGCUAGUAAUCGCGCAUCAGCCACGGCGCGGUGAAUACGUUCCCGGGCCUUGUACACACCGCCCGUCAAGCCAUGGGAGCCGGGGGUGCCUGAAGUGCGUUACCGCGAGGGACGCCCUAGGGUAAAACCGGUGACUGGGGCUA
rnacentral:rRNA from 1 species